rnacentral:lncRNA from 1 species
AAACUGCAAUCAAGCCCUGAUCCAACCCACUCCAUAACUAGAUUGAGGUAAUGAGCCCCUCACCCUAUCUGCCUUUCAGGUAAAAGAUAAUGUCAUUUGGAACAUCAACACAAUGUCUCUUUAAACACGGAGGCCAUCACCCAAUUGAAUAUUACUAGACAUACAAAAAGGGAGAAAGUGUGACUGAUAAUCAAGAGAAAACCAAACAACAGAGACAAACUCAGAGAUUGUGGUAGCCAGCUAGCAAGAUGGUCCCCAAUGAUGCCUGCCUCCUGGUAUUUCAUCCUUGUGUAGUCCUCUCUCACGCUGAAGGGGGCCGACUUUGUAAUCAAUUGAUUACAGCAGAAAUAACAAGUGUGACUUCUAAGAUUAAGUCAUAAAAGACUAUUUAUAGCUUCUACCUUACUGCUUCUUGGAUCAUCCACUCUGGGGGAAGCCAGCUGCCAUGUCGUGAGGAUUCCCAAGCAGCCUCAUGGAAGUUCAUGUAAAGCCUCCUGCCAACAGCCAGCAAGGGACUGAAGAGUCCUGCUCACCGCUUUAGGAGAGCUAUCUCGGAAAUGGAUCCUCUGGUUCCAGCCAAAGGCAUCUUGCCCUAAGCUUCAAGUACGGGUCAUUUUCUUCCAUCAAAUCUCAACUCACCUUGCUCCGUGGAAUUUGAUGGUUCUUUACCUCAGCGAUCUCUUUUCCUUGCUCUUCGGAAAGCACAGAGAUCAUUUUUGUAGGCUCCCUGUUGCAAGCUGGUUUUCCAGAAGCAGACACAGAGAAAGAGGUUGGGACGGAGGAUGACUAUUAGAAUAUGUGGAAGAGGAAGGAAGCAGGAUUGGGCACAGCGAGCAGUUGAAGAGCAAUGCAGUCCCAACAAAGUCUCAGCUGACCCCGUGCAGAACUCUGGAGCAUCUAUGGCUCAUUGCCAAGUGGACCAAAAUGGCCAGGCCCCUGUACUACACCAUGAACUUACAUUAAACUCAAAGAAGUCUGUAUACCACCUACCUAUGCUAACCAAUCUAAUCACAAUUCAGAAACGUGAACAAACAACUAAGUAUCACUAGAGAGGACUUCGGGACCUCCUCAAGCUGAAAAAGAAAUUCCAGCAUGAGCAAACAUGAUAACACAUUCUAAAUCAAAAGAUAUCAUUUGGAGGAUAAAACAAUAAAAUUUCAAAGAAAUUC